ACAACAACCAUUAUUUUGCAUUAUUGUAUAAAAAGUUACCUUCUUCUAUAUGCACUUAUAUGAAUACAUAACUGAAAUGUUAAGUUUAGGAUAUAGCCUAUUAAUCUAAUAACAAUGCAAAAAAAAAAAAAAAAAACUUCACAAACACUUUAUAGCUUCAAGUUAAUAUAGAGUGCUACCUAUUUUAGAAAUCCUGUUAACAUUUCACGGUUUAAUUUCAGAUCGUGAGAACCAGUCUGUCCUGAUUACUGGAGAAUCUGGUGCAGGAAAGACUGUGAA